CUUCACAGGUUAACCCGUGGCCUGAGUGAGGAAGGCAAUGUCCUUGCUAGUCACUAUUUGUGGCGACAUCUCCAAAUUGCGUGAAACCCGUCAUACAGCUUCAAGUACCACUUCAAUUGAGAAAUCUUUUGAAGGAACAGAGGUAACUCCUCUUCCCAAAGGUAAAAGCUUGAAGACACGGUGGCAAUGCGCAGCCAAGCUCCUAAGUAUUUUAAAUAUAAGGAGAAGGUUCAGAGAGCAGACGGAGAUGGGCGGUAAUUAUCGCCGCUUAAGGUGUGCUCCAGCCUCUUUCGAAAGAUUGAG
rnacentral:ncRNA from 1 species